rnacentral:rRNA from 1 species
UAGGGAAUCUUCCACAAUGGACGCAAGUCUGAUGGAGCAACGCCGCGUGAGUGAAGAAGGUUUUCGGAUCGUAAAGCUCUGUUGUUGGUGAAGAAGGAUAGAGGCAGUAACUGGUCUUUAUUUGACGGUAAUCAACCAGAAAGUCACGGCUAACUACGUGCCAGCAGCCGCGGUAAUACGUAGGUGGCAAGCGUUGUCCGGAUUUAUUGGGCGUAAAGCGAGCGCAGGCGGAAUGAUAAGUCUGAUGUGAAAGCCCACGGCUCAACCGUGGAACUGCUUCGGAAACUGUCAUUCUUGAGUGCAGAAGAGGAGAGUGGAAUUCCAUGUGUAGCGGUGGAAUGCGUAGAUAUAUGGAAGAACACCAGUGGCGAAGGCGGCUCUCUGGUCUGCAACUGACGCUGAGGCUCGAAAGCAUGGGUAGCGAACAGG